AUUCUCUUCCACUCUUCAAAAAAAAAACACAAAAUACUCUCUCAACUCUCAGUCCCUCCUCCGGCCAGGGUCCGGCCGCCUCCACUGUCGACGCCGUCGGGCCGGCCACCGUGCGCGGUGGUCGAAAACUAAAAAAAGGUGCAAAUGGACGGGGGUGGUUGGCGUCAGAGAGCAGGUGGCGUUGGUGGCUGCGAGCAGAGCUAGGAGCGGCGAUGGCAGAAGACUAAGGCUUAGGGUUUCCUAUUUCUUUUUUUGUAUUGGGCCAUUUGGGCUGUUUAGGUUUUGUUUAGGAUUGGGUUUGGGUUUGUUAGUUUUGAUGGGCUUUGGGCUGGGGUUUAUUACUGGGUCCGGGCAAAAUGACCUGCAACAGGGACAAAAUGCAAUUCAACUCUUAAUACAAGGUUUUCAUAAUAUUUUUACCA